rnacentral:lncRNA from 1 species
UUUCAUACACUUGCACACGAACACUUGGAAUUUUCAUGCAAUUGCAUACGUGCACCUUUUCAUACACUUGCACACAAACACUUGGAUUUUUAAUUUCUUUCAUACACUUCCACACUUGCACAUUUUGAGUCUCAUUUGCAUUAAUCGACCUCUAUGGGGUUUUCCUUUGUUGACCGCCACAAUUCAUGUGGUUUGGGACCAAAAGCCUCACGAGAGACAUUGUAGAAUUUAGGAUUGCAUUUUUCUUUCCGUAUUGCAUUCAUAUAGUCAUAUCCAACGUGCGAACAUAUAUUGGG